rnacentral:rRNA from 1 species
UCGAUUCCCUUAGUAGCGGCGAGCGAAACGGGAAGAGCCCAAACCAACAAGCUUGCUUGUUGGGGUUGUAGGACACUCUAUACGGAGUUACAAAGGACGACAUUAGACGAAUCAUCUGGAAAGAUGAAUCAAAGAAGGUAAUAAUCCUGUAGUCGAAAAUGUUGUCUCUCUUGAGUGGAUCCUGAGUACGACGGAGCACGUGAAAUUCCGUCGGAAUCUGGGAGGACCAUCUCCUAAGGCUAAAUACUCUCUAGUGACCGAUAGUGAACCAGUACCGUGAGGGAAAGGUGAAAAGCACCCCGGAAGGGGAGUGAAAUAGAACCUGAAACCGUGUGCUUACAAGUAGUCAGAGCCCGUUAAUGGGUGAUGGCGUGCCUUUUGUAGAAUGAACCGGCGAGUUACGAUUUGAUGCAAGGUUAAGCAGUAAAUGUGGAGCCGUAGCGAAAGCGAGUCUGAAUAGGGCGUUUAGUAUUUGGUCGUAGACCCGAAACCAGGUGAUCUACCCUUGGUCAGGUUGAAGUUCAGGUAACACUGAAUGGAGGACCGAACCGACUUACGUUGAAAAGUGAGCGGAUGAACUGAGGGUAGCGGAGAAAUUCCAAUCGAACCUGGAGAUAGCUGGUUCUCUCCGAAAUAGCUUUAGGGCUAGCCUCAAGUGAUGAUUAUUGGAGGUAGAGCACUGUUUGGACGAGGGGCCCCUCUCGGGUUACCGAAUUCAGACAAACUCCGAAUGCCAAUUAAUUUAACUUGGGAGUCAGAACAUGGGUGAUAAGGUCCGUGUUCGAAAGGGAAACAGCCCAGACCACCAGCUAAGGUCCCAAAAUAUAUGUUAAGUGGAAAAGGAUGUGGCGUUGCCCAGACAACUAGGAUGUUGGCUUAGAAGCAGCCAUCAUUUAAAGAGUGCGUAAUAGCUCACUAGUCGAGUGACACUGCGCCGAAAA